UAGGGAAUAUUAGUAAUGGGCGAAAGCCUGAACUAGCAACGCCGCGUGUGCGAAGAAGGCCUUCGGGUUGUAAAGCACUUUUUGAGAGGAUGAGGAAGGACGGUACUCUCAGAAUAAGUCUCGGCUAACUACGUGCCAGCAGCCGCGGUAACACGUAGGAGGCGAACGUUAUCCGGAUUUACUGGGCGUAAAGCGCGUGUAGGUGGUUUGGUAAGUAGGGCGUAAAAGCUCCUGGCUCAACUGGGAGAGGCCGUUCUAAACUGCCGGACUAGAGGAUGGUAGAGGGAGGUGGAAUUCCGAGUGUAGCGGUGGAAUGCGCAGAUAUCCGGAGGAACACCAGUGGCGAAAGCGGCCUCCUGGACCAUUCCUGACACUCAGACGCGAAAGCUAGGGUAGCAAAC
rnacentral:rRNA from 1 species